GUGCGAUCUGGCUGCGAUGCCCCACGCGAAAGGGAGGGAGCGGCGGGCGCGGCGUGGGUUUCUCGCGUCUGGUGGGAUUCGCGCGCUGUGCGUGCGUGUUGGGGUUUUUGUGCUGGUUCGUUUCUGUUGUCCCGUCUGUUAGGAUUUGGUUGGUUCGUCUUUAGCUGCUUCGUAGUCGUCGCUGCAAACCCUGGGGAUUUUUAAUCCGCUGCUGGCCUCGCGCCGGACGCACUCAGCCAGCAGCCACUCCUCCGCAGCCAGGCCGCAGUGCCCGUCGCUGUCUCAGUCGUCUCCGCUGGGUCAAACCGAAGCUCUUCUUACCGCCGUAUGCUCGGCUGCCUAAUCCAACUGCGCAGAGAGCUUCCGUGCUGGCGAGCCGAAUUCCAAGCCCGCUUCGUGGGACUGGAAUCGAGACCACGCCGCAGAUCGGAAGCAACCUGCCAGUCAAAUAGCUCGGAAAAGGGGAGCUAAAGUACCACUAGUGCUCAUCUUGCCUCUUUGUGAUCCGCCCCCCACUUCACUCUUUACCACCGCCGCCCGUUUGCAUACUUAUACGGGCUUCGGUGCGAGCAUUUAAUUUGUCCCAAGGGUUUCUCUUCUUAGCAGGCUUCCAGCUUCGUCUCGUCCCCCCUUCCAGUGCAUAUCUCAAUUUUGGUUCGGUUGCUUGAACUGUACUGCGGCUUGCUGCUACUUUGUUAUACCAUCUUAUUGUUGGUCUCAUGGCUUGUUUUUGCUUUCUGCAGAUCCGUGCGCCCAACAGAACUAGGAUUUUUUGUGGUCCUUCAUGAAUCUUGAGGACAGUCUAUACUAGGGGGGCAGUAGGGUACUACUACUGCUAGGAUCUGGUAUCCUCCGAAAUGAGGGGGAGAAAUGACGGGGGGCAGAGCAAGAGGCCCGUCGUGCUCUUCUGCGUCAUGGUCGUGUGCCUCUGCCUCCUCUUCCUCUAUUUCUCGGGCUCCAAUGGGCAGGCUGGGAGCGCGGCACUAGAGUAUGGCACCAAGUUUUCUCGCUCGCUUGGGUGGGGCAGCGAUGGAGAUGGCGACGAUGGCUCAGAGGAGUCGAUUUUUGGGACUGGCGAUGUAAAUGACGUUAAGCUCAAGAGCUUCCCGGUAUGCGAUGAUCGGCAUUCUGAGCUGAUCCCCUGCUUGGAUAGGAAUUUGAUAUAUCAGAUGAGGUUGAAGCUGGAUCUAAACUUGAUGGAGCAUUAUGAGCGGCAUUGCCCUCCUCCUGAGAGGCGAUUUAAUUGCCUGAUUCCACCGCCACAUGGCUAUAAGGUUCCCAUAAAAUGGCCAAAAAGUCGCGAUAUAGUGUGGAAAGCAAAUAUUCCUCACACUCACCUUGCAAAAGAGAAGUCAGACCAGAACUGGAUGAUUGAUGCAGGCGAAAAAAUUAAGUUUCCAGGUGGCGGAACACAUUUUCAUCAUGGAGCUGACAAAUAUAUAUCAAGCAUUGCAAAUAUGCUAAACUUCAAAGAUAACAUUAUAAACAAUGAGGGAAUGCUUCGUACUGUACUUGAUGUGGGCUGCGGAGUGGCUAGUUUUGGAGGAUAUCUUCUUUCAUCGAAUGUCAUAGCGAUGUCUUUGGCACCAAACGAUGUACAUCAGAACCAGAUCCAAUUUGCUCUUGAAAGGGGGAUCCCUGCUUAUCUUGGUGUUUUGGGAACAAAAAGGCUUCCAUACCCCAGUAGAUCGUUCGAAUUAGCCCACUGUUCUCGUUGCAGGAUUGAUUGGCUUCAGAGAGAUGGAAUUCUUAUGCUUGAACUGGACAGAUUACUCAGGCCUGGAGGUUAUUUUGCUUAUUCAUCUCCUGAGGCAUACGCACAGGAUGAGGAGGACCGUAGAAUCUGGAAAGAAAUGAGUUCCCUUGCAGAAAGGAUGUGCUGGAAAAUUGCAGAGAAAAAAAACCAGACAGUUAUUUGGGUCAAGCCUCUGAACAAUGAUUGCUACAGGAGCCGGCCGCGUGGUACAAAUCCACCUCUAUGCAAAAGUGGUGAUGAUCCAGAUUCAGUAUGGGGAGUGACAAUGGAAGCUUGCAUUACUCCAUAUCCAGAACAAAUGCACAGGGAUGGGGGAAGUGGAUUGGCUCCUUGGCCUGCUCGAUUAACAACCCCACCUCCUCGUCUUGCAGAUUUGUAUGUUACAGCUGACACAUUUGAAAAAGAUACGGAAAUGUGGCAGCAAAGAGUAGACAAUUAUUGGAAUUUAUUGCGCCCAAAGGUAAAACCAGAGAGUAUUAGAAACAUCAUGGACAUGAAAGCAAACUUUGGAUCAUUUGCUGCUGCUCUCAAGGAAAAGGAUGUAUGGGUGAUGAAUGCUGUGUCCCAUGAUGGACCAAACACUCUUAAGAUAAUCUAUGACAGAGGGCUCAUAGGCUCUACACACGACUGGUGUGAGGCAUUCUCUACUUAUCCUCGAACAUAUGAUCUUCUACAUGCGUGGACAGUCUUCACCGACCUUGAGAAAAGAGGUUGCAGUGCUGAAGAUCUGCUCCUUGAAAUGGAUCGUAUACUCAGGCCAACUGGUUUUAUCAUCGUGAGAGACAAGGCCCCUAUCAUUGUAUUCAUCAAGAAGUAUCUCAAUGCACUUCACUGGGAGGCAGUAACCGUUGUGGAUGGUGAGUCCAGUCCGGAAUCUGAGGAGAAUGAAAUGAUACUCAUAAUCCGGAAGAAAUUGUGGCUACCAGAAGCAGGUUCACAGGACUCGACGUAAUCCUUUGGUCCGAGUUUCUUUGGCAUCGUCAGCAUCUGCAGCUCAGGAGCCAAGAAGCGAAGGCUCAGUUGCUCCCUCCAAAUUCGUGAUUCAGUAUUGCUGCUCCAGGAGUAGAAUUCCCAGUCCUACUAUCCACGUGAAGAUAGAAUGUUUCUCAGGAUAUGGCAAGUAUCCGGAAGGCUGAGCUCAAGCCCUCUCUCCUUUUGUUGUCUCCACAGAUACUGUAAUCGUAAGUUAAUGUUUGUUCUCUAGCCUGGUUAGGAAAUAAACCUUUUUCUUGUUGAGCUUCAGUUAGGUGCUUCCCGUCCAUUUGUUGAAGCGGCGUUAGUAAACAGAUUUGGUGCUUAUUGUAAGAAGAUUCAACUGUAAACAUAUUUUGGGGAAAUGAGGUUUAGCUAGGGAUAGUGGCCUCAAACCACCAAGGAAUGUAUACCUGAAGAAUGUGGUGCUUCUGAAGUUCUGUCUGUUC
rnacentral:rRNA from 1 species